rnacentral:SRP_RNA from 1 species
AAAUGGGUAAGUCCUAUACGGCCAGCUCCCUUGGAAUUCCCCCAGGGCUUGACCGCAGCAAGGGUACUCGGUUGUAGCGGCGCGAUGUAGCAAGCUUACCCACC